rnacentral:rRNA from 1 species
GACGAACGCUGGCGGCGUGCUUAACACAUGCAAGUCGAACGGAAAGGCCCUGCUUUUGUGGGGUGCUCGAGUGGCGAACGGGUGAGUAACACGUGAGUAACCUGCCCUUGACUUUGGGAUAACUUCAGGAAACUGGGGCUAAUACCGGAUAGGAGCUCCUACUGCAUGGUGGGGGUUGGAAAGUUUCGGCGGUUGGGGAUGGACUCGCGGCUUAUCAGCUUGUUGGUGGGGUAGUGGCUUACCAAGGCUUUGACGGGUAGCCGGCCUGAGAGGGUGACCGGCCACAUUGGGACUGAGAUACGGCCCAGACUACUACGGGAGGCAGCAGUGGGGAAUAUUGCACAAUGGGCGGAAGCCUGAUGCUGCAACGCCGCGUGCGGGAUGACGGCCUUCGGGUUGUAAACCGCUUUCGCCUGUGACGAAGCGUGAGUGACGGUAAUGGGUAAAGAAGCACCGGCUAACUACGUG